AUGCCGCCGGGCUUCCGCUUACACCCCACGAACGACGAACUCGUCGUGCACUACCUCUGCAGGGAGGUGGCGGCCAGCCGCAGCCGUGCCCAUGAUCUGCCUGAACAUGCAGAGCAGGGAGUGGUACUUUUCCUGUUUGAACUAGCUUGUUUUUUGUACUUGUUCAACUAUCAAAAUGCAUGUAAAUUUGAACCUUUUGUUUUGCCCCUCCUGAAUGUGAAUUGUACGAAUACUAGCCUUUUUGUUCUGUUUUAUAGGUGUGGCAAAAAUGCUGAAUUGAUGGAACUUGCUACUGAAACUGAUCUGGAACAAAAAUGCUAA
rnacentral:rRNA from 1 species